rnacentral:lncRNA from 1 species
AGCUAUUCAAAGCUUUGUUCCACUUAUUAAAAUAAAGUAUCUUACUUCAAACAAGUAUUUCAGAGAAUAUAAUCAAGAGGACAGCAUUCAAAUACAAUGCACAGAAAACAUAAAAGACCUACCUACCUAGGACUACUUUUUUGAGACUGGAAAAGGGACCUUUGGAAAGAGAGCUUCAUCAUGGAAGGAGAAAGUGCUUGGAGGUUCUUCACAGGAGAGAUGGUCUUGUAUGCUGAGUGACCGGUGACACACUGAACCAGGAUGGGUAAAAAUACAUUCUUGUGAAAAAUAAACACGGCUGUCUCACUGUUGGCUGACUGAAGCACGACGAUUAACUAGAGCUGGGCGAAUUCUGUGUAGUUCAGUGUGAACUUGCCAGUUCUCUGACGGUUUCAUCUCCACCAUCCCUCUGACUGGCCAACGUUUAUUCCAGAUACUGGGCGCUUGCUCUGUUACCAAGAGCAGCAGCAAGGAAGAGCAGCAGGAGCAGGACACUGAGGUACCGCGGCAGGAAGCAGCAGUGGGAAGCGUGACGUCUUUACCCAGGUGUUGGCUGCCAGAGGUAAGAGAUCCUCGGCCCGGGGUUGGCGAGGGUGGGAAUUAGCACAUGGUAGUUUAGGGUUAAGUAUGUGCUCAUGCACACACAUGGAGCAGUUGUGGAGAGCAGCUGAGGCCAUGAAGGAAAUUCAUACCAAUUUGGGUUAGCCCACAUUUUGUCAUGUUACCAAAAAUAUUCUGUAAAUAAAUAUAUUAAUGGGCCACUUGUAGAUAGCA